rnacentral:rRNA from 1 species
ACACGGGGGUUGCAAGCGUUGUCCGGAAUUACUAGGCGUAAAGGGCAGGUAGGCGGAUAGAUAAGUUUUUUGUCAAAGGCAACGGCUCACCCGUUGUACGGCAGGAGAUACUGUUUAUCUGGAAUGCGGUUGGGGAAGACAGAAUUCCUGGUGUAGCGGUGGAAUGCGCAGAGAUCAGGAGGAAUACCAAAGGCGAAGGCAGUCUUCUAAGCCGUUAUUGACGCUAAACUGCGAAGGUGUGGGUAUCAAACAGGAUUAGAUACCCUGGUAGUCCACACAGUAAACGAUAAUCACUAGGUGUCGGUGUCGUAGAGACUUCGGUGCCGUAGCUAACGCGAUAAGUGAUUCGCCUGGGGAGUACGAUCGCAAGGUUGAG